rnacentral:rRNA from 1 species
UACGUAGGCAGCAAGCGUUGUUCGGAAUUACUGGGCGUAAAGAGUGUGUAGGCGGUGCUCUAAGUCUGUUGUGAAAUCUCCCGGCUUAACCGGGAGGGUGCGGCGGAAACUGGAGUGCUUGAGGGUGGGAGAGGUAAGCGGAAUUCCUGGUGUAGCGGUGAAAUGCGUAGAUAUCUGGAGGAACACCGGUGGCGAAGGCGGCAUUCUGGACCGAUAUUGACGCUGAGGAGCGAAAGCCAGGGGAGCAAACGGG